AUUUCGUUGAAUUUUUUUUUUAAACGUUUUUUAAUCACAAGUGAGUUACAAACAGAAAGAGUCACCAAAGAUGAAUGAGUUCACACCAUAUGCAGUAGUGGCGAUGAAAGUCCUUUGGGAGGCACGAGAGGAAGUGCUACUUUUCUUGCAAACGCUAAACAAGUAUGUGUCUUACUGUUUUGAUGCAUCAUGUGAUCAAAAUAAUGUAGGCUCAGCUGCGGUUCUCAGAGAUCAAGACUGGAAUGCCAUUGGCCAAAGAGGAGAGUUUUGAACAAGUUGUGAUAGAGGGUAUAACGGUAAGAACUCCAAGUAUUUGAUAAAAUGUUACUAUGGGCUAAAUGAAUGAACUCACUGUCUUACUUUUCGAGAGAGAAGUUUCAGUAUAUAUAUAUCUCUCUCUCUCUUUCUUUUUGUUGUUGGACGAAUCCAAUCUAGAGAUAAUAUUUAUCUUGUUAGCUGGUUUUUAAGGAUACAUCUUAGGAUUGCUCUGUUUCAAUUUUGUCAUUAUAUUCUGAGCCAAUAGAAGGAUAUGCAGCAAAUGUCAUUAACUUCAUUGUAAAUCCAGCUUGCAAGAAGGAUAUUUCAGCUUUGGCUUCUUCUUCAUUUGGAAAUGGGAUUAGAUAAUAAUGUAGCCCACAACCUUGUAAAAUGGGUAAUGGGGUCUAAUCACUCUAGUCUAAUGUUGCUGUUAACGUUCCCCAGCUUGUUUUUUGGUAAGUAACGAAAAAAUUUUAUUAAAAAGAAAACACAACAAGUACACCGGGGGUGUACUCAGGGAAAAGUACAGCUAAUUCAAAUUACAAUGCUCAAGCAUAUCUAAAAGGAUAGACCAAGGAGGAGAAUGAAAAGAAACACUCCAAUCUAAAAAGUACGAAAGAAAAAGGCUUUAAAUUAAAGGGUAAUCCACUUACAACCCUCAAAACUUCUAGAAUUCCAUUCUUGCCAAAGACACCACAUAAUUCAAUGAGGCACAGCAUUCCAAAAAGCUAUGUUUCUAUGUCUGCUGAAAUAACCCUGCCAAGCUGCGAACAUAUCAAUAUCGGCACCCAUUGGAGUCCAAAUAAACAGAAUGUCAUUAUUCGUAGAUGAAAAUCUAUAGGGCAAAGAAGAAGAAGAUGAUCCAUGGACACUGACCUCAAUCCAAGUCUAUUACCAUAGAAAUGAGAAAAUCUUGAUUCAAAUUCAAAGAAAUAUGACAAGGUAAUAUUAUUACAUUGAAACGUUUUUCUAUUAUGUUAUUUAGUAUCAAGGAAUGUCUCAUUCUUUAGUUUUAUUGUUUCAUCUGCACUUUUGAUAGCUUUUAUUGCUUCUCUAAGUAUAACUUAACUAGCUCAUUCAUGACAUUGGGAACCAUCCAAUUUGAAAGAAAAUUAUUGUAAAUAAAAAUUGGAACUAAUGAAAUAACAUUUGAUAGUAUUCUGUGGUAGUACCUUCCCUCAUUGCUUCUUUAAAGAUAAAAUUAUGUUACCUUUAUCUCAUUUAAUGUAAGGGUGCCUGUUUUGUCUAAUAGCUGGUGUUAAGGAUUAUUUUAAAUUCAUAAUUGUAAUUCUUAGGAGGCUCAAAUUUAAAGCACUCCUCUUCUCUAAUAAAAUUCCUCAUUUACUUAUUAAAAAUAAAUUGUUUGAUUGUUCUCUUCCUUGUGCUAUUCAUAGUUUUAUUUGUCUGUUAAGAUUGAUAGUCAGCAUGGCCAUUAGUCUUUGAACCAAAUCUUUGUCUCUCACAAACAAGGGGUGGAUGUUGAAGUGAUGGGUUUAAUCUGAAUUGUGUGAAUGAUUUGUACUUACCAAUCAAAACAACAACAUAAUUGCUGAAUUCUGUCUAUGAAGCAAGGGAUGAGGAAACUAAGAUAGGGAGCUCUGCUUUUUGACGGCUAAUAAUUAGUGCUCCACUGCUCCCAUUUGUAAUUUACUUAUCAAAAGAAAAAAUGUUUAGCCCUGGAUUGCCAUUUUUCAGGAAGAGUCAAGAAGAUGCUUGGUGUGAGCACUAUUUUUUUAUAUUUUCUUUCAUCUUUUUGGCCAUCUACAACAACAACAACAAAUUCCAAAUAUUUGGGGUCAGUUAUGGAUCCUCAACAAAUAGUGUGGACCUUUAUUUCAUAUCCUACUUUGGAAGAAUCCGAACUACGGACUCUGUUUUGUGCACCUUACUUUCAAGUCAUCUAGCUACUUUUAUACCAUACUAACUCUAUAAUUCUCUUAACCUUAAUCUGGUUAUGAAAAUAGGCUAUAAAGGAAUUUUAAUCAUCUUUCAUUCAUAAAAUUUGAGGAAAAAGAUAAAGCGACACAGCAUGGAUAGAGAAUAAACUCAGUCUGACCUGUUUCCAAUAUCCCACAAGGAAAAUUUGAGUUGCAUGACAACAAUAUGCUACUUUGCUAUUCUUGUCCAUGAGUCAUCUAGCUACUUAUAUAUCAAACUAAUUGGGUACUUUUGUAAAAAAAAACUUGAUCCUAAACAAAAUUAGGACAUAAAAGUAAUUUAUAAAUCUUGAAGUUCGACAGCAGAAAAAAGAAUUAUAGAAUCUGGUUUGGGUGAUUGACAACUUCUUGAUGAUGGACAUUGAAUUUUUGAACAGAAAUGAAAUCAAUGAGGGAAUUUGAUGGUACAAAUGAACUCCUAACAUGGGUUGCAGCAUUUCAUAUGCAGCUUCUUGCAUUUUCAGUCUGCUGGUAGCUACAGACUACAGUGUUAUAGGCCAAGCCGCGUUCAUAUUCACUUAUUUUGCUGUCUUGUGGGUUUAUACAGAAUAAGAAUAAACGUCACAUUGUGCUCUGUAUUGGUUGUCGAGGCUUGUAUUAUGUGUAAAUUCUAGGCUAUGUGUGCAGGUUGAGAAUUUCGGCUAUUACCUUCUCCAUUACUAUGUUCUCAUAUGCUGGAAUACUCGUGUUAGCUGGCUUUUGUAGCAAAUUCGAUUAUUUUUAUGGUAUGUAUGCUCUUUACACAUGGCUUGUUCCCUGUAAAUUGGCUAAGAUCGAUGCACCAUCAUUUUAAUUAAUACUCAAGAAAGGCUGAAGCAAGUUUUUUUGAGUCAUCUUAUGCUUCUCCUCAGUCCUUGGGAAAUCAAGAUCAUCUGUCAUGGAUUGUUUCUAGGCAAGCAGGUUUCCUACUGGAAUAUGCAAAAUGAUGUGUAAAGCUUUCAUGGAAUGUAUUUUUCUAUAUUUUUCUUUGUAGCCUUAGCACAAUACAUAUUUGGAAUGUGACAUAUUGCACAUUGACUUUAAUACGUUUUCUGUUCUUUUAUUACAAUAGUAUCAAGAUUUCUUUGA